rnacentral:rRNA from 1 species
AUCUACCCUUUGGCCUGGAAUAACACGAGGAAACUUGUGCUAAUACCGGAUAAGUCUUUACGGAGAAAGCUUUAUGCACCAUUGGAUGAGCCUGCACUUGAUUAGUUUGUUGGUAGGGUAAUGGCCUACCAAGACUGUGAUCAAUAGCUGAUUUGAGAGGAUGAUCAGCCACAUUGGGACUGAGACACGGCCCAAACUCCUACGGGAGGCAGCAGUGGGGAAUCUUGCACAAUGGAGGAAACUCUGAUGCAGCGAUGCCGCGUGAGUGAAGAAGGCCCUUGGGUUGUAAAGCUCUUUCGUCGGGGAAGAAAAUGAGUGUACCCGAAUAAGAAGGUCCGGCUAACUUCGUGCCAGCAGCCGCGGUAAUACGAAGGGACCUAGCGUAGUUCGGAAUUACUGGGCUUAAAGAGUUCGUAGGUGGUUGAAAAAGUUGGUGGUGAAAUCCCAGAGCUUAACUCUGGAACUGCCAUCAAAACUUUUCAGCUAGAGUAUGAUAGAGGAAAGCAGAAUUUCUAGUGUAGAGGUGAAAUUCGUAGAUAUUAGAAAGAAUACCAAUUGCGAAGGCAGCUUUCUGGAUCAUUACUGACACUGAGGAACGAAAGCAUGGGCAGCGAAGAGGAUUAGAUACCCUCGUAGUCCAUGCCGUACACGAUGUGUGUUAGACGUUGGAAAUUUAUUUUCAGUGUCGCAGUGAAAACGAUAAACACACC